GGGCUGUAUCUGACAGGAACCUGAGGGGCUGGCCCCGGGGGGGAUUGGGGCCCAGCUUCCUGAAGGGAGGAUGGGCUAAGGCAGGCACACAGUGCCGGAGAAGAUGCCCUCUUGGGCCCUCUUCAUGGUCACCUCCUGCCUCCUCUUGGCCCUUCCAAACCAGGCACAAGUCACCAGCCAAGAUGUCUUCUUGCUGGCCUUGGGCACAGAGCCCCUGAACUGCUUCUCCCAAACAUUUGAGGACCUCACCUGCUUCUGGGAUGAGGAAGAGGCAGCACCCAGUGGGACAUACCAGCUGCUGUAUGCCUACCGAGGAGAGAAGCCCCGUGCAUGCCCCCUGUAUUCCCAGAGUGUGCCCACCUUUGGAACCCGGUAUGUGUGCCAGUUUCCAGCCCAGGAUGAAGUGCGCCUCUUCUUUCCGCUGCACCUCUGGGUGAAGAAUGUGUCCCUCAACCAGACUUUGAUCCAGCGGGUGCUGUUUGUGGAUAGUGUGGGCCUGCCAGCUCCCCCCAGGGUCAUCAAGGCCAGGGGUGGGAGCCAACCAGGGGAACUUCAGAUCCACUGGGAGGCCCCUGCUCCUGAAAUCAGUGACUUCCUGAGGCAUGAACUCCGCUAUGGCCCCACGGACUCCAGCAACGCCACUGCCCCCUCCGUCAUUCAGCUGCUCUCCACAGAAACCUGCUGCCCCACUUUGUGGAUGCCGAACCCAGUCCCUGUUCUUGACCAGCCUCCGUGUGUUCAUCCGACAGCAUCCCAACCGCAUGGACCAGUGAGGACCUCCCCAGCUGGAGAAGCUCCAUUUCUGACAGUGAAGGGUGGAAGCUGUCUCGUCUCAGGCCUCCAGGCUGGCAAAUCCUACUGGCUCCAGCUACGCAGCCAACCCGACGGGGUCUCCCUUCGUGGCUCCUGGGGACCCUGGUCCUUCCCUGUGACUGUGGAUCUUCCAGGAGAUGCAGUGACAAUUGGACUUCAGUGCUUUACCUUGGAUCUGAAGAUGGUCACCUGCCAGUGGCAGCAACAAGACCGCACUAGCUCCCAAGGCUUCUUCCGCCACAGCAGGACGAGGUGCUGCCCCACAGACAGGGACCCCACCUGGGAGAAAUGUGAAGAGGAGGAACCGCGUCCAGGAUCACAGCCCGCUCUCGUCUCCCGCUGCCACUUCAAGUCACGAAAUGACAGUGUUAUUCACAUCCUUGUAGAGGUGACCACAGCGCAAGGUGCCGUUCACAGCUACCUGGGCUCCCCUUUUUGGAUCCACCAGGCUGUGCUCCUUCCCACCCCGAGCCUGCACUGGAGGGAGGUCUCAAGUGGAAGGCUGGAGUUGGAGUGGCAGCACCAGUCAUCUUGGGCAGCUCAAGAGACCUGCUACCAGCUCCGGUACACGGGAGAAGGCCGUGAGGACUGGAAGGUGCUGGAGCCAUCUCUCGGUGCCCGGGGAGGGACCCUAGAGCUGCGCCCCCGAGCUCGCUACAGCUUGCAGCUGCGUGCCAGGCUCAACGGCCCCACCUACCAAGGUCCCUGGAGCGCCUGGUCUCCCCCAGCUAGGGUGUCCACGGGCUCCGAGACUGGUGAGGACGGGCAGGGCUGAAGCUGGUCUACGCUGCGUGGGGACCUGGUUACACUAUAGCUUGGAUCACCUUGGUGACUGCUCUGCUCCUGGUGCUGAGCCUCAGUGCCCUUCUGGGCCUACUGCUGCUAAAGUGGCAAUUUCCUGCGCACUACAGGAGACUGAGGCAUGCUUUGUGGCCCUCGCUUCCAGACCUACACCGGGUCCUAGGCCAGUACCUCAGAGACACUGCAGCCCUAAGUCCUUCUAAGGCCACGGUUACCGAUAGCUGUGAAGAAGUGGAACCCAGCCUCCUGGAAAUCCUCCCUAAGUCCUCAGAGAGCACUCCUUUACCUCUGUGUCCCUCCCAACCUCAGAUGGACUACAGAGGACUGCAACCUUGCCUGCGGACCAUGCCCCUGUCUGUGUGUCCACCCAUGGCUGAGACGGGGUCCUGCUGCACCACACACAUUGCCAACCACUCCUACCUACCACUAAGCUAUUGGCAGCAGCCCUGAAGGCAGUCCCCAUGCUACUGCAGACCUAUACAUUCCUACACACUACCUUAUCCAUCCUCAACACCAUCCAUUCUGUUGCCACCCCACUCCCCCUCUGGCUUUAUAACACUGAUCACUCCAGAUGGCUGCUCACAAAUCCAGAGCUCUGUCUCUGCAGCUGCUUGGCUCCUCUGGCUGUUUAUUUUUAUUUUUUUAAUUUUUUAGACACUGUUUAUUAUAUAACUCUGAUGACCUAUAACUUGCUAUGUAGAAACGGCUGGCCUCAAACUCACAGAAAUCUGCCUGCUGUGACUAAAGUUGCCAUGCCCUGUAGCUCCAAACCCUUGGGGGUGGGGAAAGUCUCUGUUUCCCUAUCUCCUACAGGCUUUAAAGAGUUCUUCAGUGAGUCCCCUAGCUUGCUGUUAAGGGAACUGUGCAAGCCUUCUAAUUAUGAGACCCAGUGGGGUCUUGCUGUCAUCUAUUUAUUUGAUCUCUCUUGGCAUCCUCCUCCACCCUGGGUGCCACAGUAUCACCUUCCUUCCUGGUUCUGUUCCUGCCUCUCUGAGCAUACUAGCAGCAAAAGAGCCAACUCUGGAGCUAGAACCAGGUUCUGGUCCUGUCGUUCACACCUGCUAGCUGUGCAAACUUAGGCAAAUAGCCUUUGAGCCUUUUCCCUCUCAUCUACGAAGUGUGGAUAAUAACAGAACCCCAUAGAGCAGUGUGAACAAUUGAGAACACACUGGCUGGGACAGUCAAUGCUUAAAAUGCCCCAAUUAAUGUCCUAAGUAUUUCUUCUCUUCCUAUUCUGGCCUUUGUUACAUGAUGACCAUCAGAAAGUUCUUAUCUCCAGCCCAGACUUCUAUAGAUAGAUCCCACAGUGUUUUCUGUGGAUUUUAACAUUUGUUUCUUGCUCCUGGAUAGUGAGUUGAAAGGCAAGGGUUAGGAUCUGUCCUUACCCCCCACCCCCACCCCAGCAUCUUCAAUACUAUUUCACGUAUGAUAGGUGGCAGACCUCCAAUAAAUAUCGUCUGAAUGAAA